GUCUGCCUAUAUAAAUCCCCUCCAAAGCCUUAGCAAUUACCAUUCUCAUCUGGUUAUUCUUGCCCCUUUGUAGUCUCUUCUUUAACUAUUUAUAUGGCGAACUUGUCAGAAUUGCCAUCUCACCUCAUUAGUACAGUUGCCGAGCGUGUUAAAGUGAUUGAAGAUUUUAUUGCUUUUGGUGCUGUCUGCAUCUCAUGGCGAACUGCUGCCACUAAAGAUAAUUUUGAUGUAUACUCUCCACAAAUUCCAUUGCUUAUGCUAGCAGAUAAAGAUGAUGAUUAUCGAGAAUUUUACUCUCUUUCCAAAAACAAAAUUUCACGCAUAUUUCUCCCAGAAAUUAGAGGGCGAAGAUGUUUUCCAUCAGAGGGAGGUUGGAUGUUUACAGACUCAUGUACAGGAGAAUUUAACUUGUUUCAUCCAUUUUCCCGUACCCAGAUUCAACUUCCUUCACAAAACGCCCUAAAGGAGUCUUUACAGAAAGAUGCAGAAAUAACUCAUUACACAAUUGACAAAGCUGUCUUG
rnacentral:misc_RNA from 1 species